CCUACGGGGGGCUGCAGUGGGGAAUAUUGCGCAAUGGGGGAAACCCUGACGCAGCAACGCCGCGUGAAUGAUGAAGGCCUUCGGGUUGUAAAGUUCUGUCUUCUGGGACGAUAAUGACGGUACCAGAGGAGGAAGCCACGGCUAACUACGUGCCAGCAGCCGCGGUAAUACGUAGGUGGCAAGCGUUGUCCGGAUUUACUGGGCGUAAAGGAUGCGUAGGCGGACAUUUAAGUCAGAUGUGAAAUACCCGGGCUUAACUUGGGUGCUGCAUUUGAAACUGGGUGUCUAGAGUGCAGGAGAGGUAAGUGGAAUUCCUAGUGUAGCGGUGAAAUGCGUAGAGAUUAGGAAGAACACCAGUGGCGAAGGCGACUUACUGGACUGUAACUGACGCUGAGGCAUGAAAGCGUGGGGAGCAAACAGGAUUAGAUACCCGAGUAGUCAG
rnacentral:rRNA from 1 species